rnacentral:rRNA from 1 species
AGCUCCAAUAGCGUAUAUUAAAGUUGUUGCAGUUAAAAAGCUCGUAGUUGGAUUUCUGGUGUGAGGGAACGGUCCGACCUCUGGUGGGUACUUGCUUCCUCUCACGCCAUCCUUGAGUGGUGCGUUCUGGCAUUCAGUUGUCGGGACGUUAGCCGCUCAUCGUUUACUGUGAGAAAAUUAGAGUGUUCAAAGCAGGCUUAUGCCGUUGAAUAUAUUAGCAUGGAAUAAUAAGAUAGGACUUCGGUACUAUUGUGUUGGUUUGCGCACCGAUGUAAUGAUUAAUAGGGACAGUUGGGGGUAUUCGUAUUCAGUUGUCAGAGGUGAAAUUCUUAGAUUUACGGAAGACGAACUACUGCGAAAGCAUUUACCAAGGAUGUUUUCA